UUAAGUUUCCGAUGGAAUUUAAGGGCAUCUCACCGGAUAGACCAUAUCCGGGGAGACGGAGUUCAAUAACACGGUUGAUUGUAGUAUCACAUGUGACACCUUCCCAUGAGCAUGGGAUUGAAUUGGUUGUGUUCCACCUAAGAGUGCGGCCUCUGAAGGCCGCACUCAGGUGGAGUAGACCGGCUCUAUCCGCGUUAAGGUCCGAAAAGAUGCCGGAAAUUAGAAGAGAAAGGAA
rnacentral:misc_RNA from 1 species